GAGCCAUUAGCUCAGCUGGCAGAGCAUCUGACUUUUAAUCAGAGGGUCGGAGGUUCGAAUCCUCCAUGGCUCACCA
rnacentral:tRNA from 12 species